rnacentral:piRNA from 1 species
GAAAAAUAGAUGUGCAAUUGACUGGCUUU